UACGUAGGGUGCGAGCGUUGUCCGGAAUUAUUGGGCGUAAAGGGCUCGUAGGCGGUCUGUUGCGUCAGGAGUGAAAACUCGGGGCUUAACCCCGAGCCUGCUUCUGAUACGGGCAGACUAGAGGUAUGCAGGGGAGAACGGAAUUCCUGGUGUAGCGGUGAAAUGCGCAGAUAUCAGGAAGAACACCAAUGGCGAAAGCAGCUCUCUGGGACGGUACUGACGCUGAGACGCGAAAGCGUGGGGAGCGAACAGG
rnacentral:rRNA from 1 species